rnacentral:rRNA from 1 species
UACGGAGGGGGCUAGCGUUGUUCGGAAUUACUGGGCGUAAAGCGUACGUAGGCGGCUUUGUAAGUUAGAGGUGAAAGCCCGGGGCUCAACCCCGGAAUUGCCUUUAAGACUGCAUCGCUUGAAUCAUGGAGAGGUGAGUGGAAUUCCGAGUGUAGAGGUGAAAAUUCGUAGAUAUUCGGAAGAACACCAGUGGCGAAGGCGACUCACUGGACAUGUAUUGACGCUGAGGUACGAAAAGCGUGGGGGAGCAAACAGG